UUCCCAGUCCCACCCAUAUGAUUUAUGGGGGUGCUCGGGUGAAGCCCUAAGCCUGUCAUCUCCUUUGCCUCGUCCUCCGACUUCCCAGAAGCCGACCUCCUCCCGCCGGCGACGACAAUAUCACCACCGGCCUCGUCCUCCUCCGCCGGUCUGUAGCCCCCGUCGCCUCCGCCGGCAUGAAACCCACCGACCGUUGUUCCUCCAGCAACAUCGCUGAUCGGCUCCGCCUCCGAUCAUCCAAGCCGACGGUCGCCUCUGAUGAGCAUCGACGAGUAUGUAAUCGGAGUCGUUCUAAGAUCACAACAAGGCAAGCAGCUAAAAUGUUAGAAAGCUCUGAAAAUUCAGGCAAAUCUUUCUAUGAUUCCCUUCCUCAAUACAGGAGGUCAAGAAGACUUAAAAAUGUUAGGCGGACCAACUCCAGCAAUGAUAAGAAGCUAGAUACCAAUGUGUUUGAGUCCUACUUAGAGGAUCUAUGGAACAGGAUAUCAGAAGAGAAGAGGAGCUCCUGUGCAUAUAUUGAUUGUUUAUGGUUUUCUUUGUACAAGGAUAAAAUGACAAAAGAAAAGGUGCUUAAGUGGAUUAAGAGGAAACAGAUCUUUGCAAGGAAAUAUGUUUUUGUCCCUAUUGUUUGUUGGAGACACUGGAGUCUUCUUAUUUUAUGUCACUUUGGAGGAAAAAAACAAUCAAAAGCGAAAAAACCAUGCAUGUUGCUGCUCGAUUCACUUCAUAGUACAGAACCAAAGAGGUUGGAGCCAGACAUAAGAAGGUUUGUGCUCGACAUUUAUAAAUCAGAGGGAAGAAAAGAGGGGGAUGAUUUUAUAUCCAAAAUUCCUCUCUUAAUUCCUAAGGUGCCACAACAGACAAAUGGUGAGGAAUGUGGCACAUUUGUACUUUAUUUCAUAUACCUCUUUCUCCAAAAUGCUCCUGAGAAUUUCAGUCAAGAGGGAUACCCUUACUUUCUAACGGAAGAAUGGUUUUGUUCGGAAGACUUGGAGAUCUUCCGUAAAGAAAUUUAUUCAUUUUGGAUGAGCCAGGGUAUUACUCAUGUUCAAUAACCAAAACAUCCUCAGUCCAAUCUUUAUUUCUGUUUUAUUGAGAAGCAUAAAUGGCAUAUUUUGUUUUUCGCACGAUUGCAAUGGGCCAAUCCAUGCAAUGGGGACUUCUGCAACACUGGAAAAGUUCUCAAAGUUAUAAAGAGCUCCUUUCAUAGUAACAUAUGAUUCCUUCCAAACAACUGUCACCAACCUCCCCAUAUGGGUAUGUAAUGAGCUCAAGUUUGUUUAUACUUUGUGCUCAUAUAAAUUUAGAGAUUUUCUCAACAAAUUUGUUGGAUAAAUUCGUGACUGAUUUUGCUGUUGAUUUGAGCCAAGAUGCAUCUUCUAUUAUAUGGUGGAACUUGAAAUGUGGCCUUAUAGUAUGUGUACAAAUAUGCUUUAACCUCCACAUGAGAAUAUGCUGCUUUGGAUUUGAGCUUGCUGUCUUAAGACAGGUUAUCAGCUGUUGUGAUAUCAAGGCAAUCAUGUAUACAUAUGAUGCUCUGCAAAGUUUGAAGUUUUGAUUUAUCCUACUUUUGACUGCAUAAUUUCUGUAUAAACCUAAAUAAACGACAGAUUGCAUCUCUAAGUGGAUUUUGAAAUCUGGAGUGGUUUUGUUGUUUGGAUUCUGGCCAUACUUGUUAAAAUCACAUGCCAUCCCAUUCAGCC